UUCCUCCGCUUAUUGAUAUGCUUAAGUUCAGCGGGUAUCCCUACCUGAUCCGAGGUCAAGAGUGUUAAAAUGUACUUUUGGACGUCGUCGUUAUGAGUGCAAAGCGCGAGAUGUACUGCGCUCCGAAAUCAAUACGCCGGCUGCCAAUUGUUUUAAGGCGAGUCUACACGCAAAGGCGAGACAAACACCCAACACCAAGCAAUGCUUGAAGGUACAAAUGACGCUCGAACAGGCAUGCCCCAUGGAAUACCAAGGGGCGCAAUGUGCGUUCAAAGAUUCGAUGAUUCACUGAAUUCUGCAAUUCACACUACUUAUCGCAUUUCGCUGCGUUCUUCAUCGAUGCCAGAACCAAGAGAUCCGUUGUUGAAAGUUGUAACUAUUAUGUUUUUCAGACGCUGAUUGCAACUGCAAAGGGUUUAAAUUGUCCAAUCGGCGGGCGAACCCACCGAGGAAACGUAAGUACUCAAAAGACAUGGGUAAGAGAUAGCAGGCAAAGCCCACAAACUCUAGGUAAUGAUCCUUCCGCAGGUUCA
rnacentral:misc_RNA from 1 species